rnacentral:rRNA from 1 species
GACGAACGCUGGCGGCGUGCCUAAUACAUGCAAGUCGAGCGAUGAAGCUUGGUGCUUGCACCAAUUUGGAGAGCAGCGAACGGGUGAGUAACGCGUGGGGAAUCUGCCUUUGAGCGGGGGACAACAUCUGGAAACGAAUGCUAAUACCGCAUAACAACUUUAAACAUAAGUUUUAAGUUUGAAAGAUGCAAUUGCUUCACUCAAUGAUGAUACCGCGUUGUAUUAGCCAGUUGGUGAGGUAAAGGCUCACCAAGGCGAUGAUACGUAGCCGAACGGAGAGGGGGGUGGGCCAAGAGGGAAGGGAGACACGGCCAAGACUCCGACGGGAGGCAGAAGUAGGGAAUCUUCCGCAAGGGGCGAAAGCGUGACGGAGCAACGCGGGGUGAGUGAUGAAGGUCUUCGGAGCGUAAAACUCUGUUAUGAGGGAAGAACAAAUGGGUAAGUAAAUAUGCACGAAUUGACGGUACCUAAUCAGAAAGGCACGGCUAACUACGUG